GAUUAUUCAGCACAAGUAUUUGUGACAUCUCAUUAGUAUUCAGCCUGCUGAGAAAGCGAGUUAGUGACUGAACCCCCUACUAUCAGAAUCAUUAGUAUCUUAGUUUCAAAUCGACCUCGUUUACACUGACAUGUUAAUGCAACAUAACGACAGUAAUGCCAGCAGCUGUGCAAAACUUUUACCUGCAUUCAACGAUUUUAUCGUAUUGUGUGCUGCCCAGCAGUCGAUCGCCUUAGCAUAGAGUUAAAAAACAACAAUACCUUGGCGAUGAUCUGUCAUUUUGGCAAACGAAAUCUCUAUAAAUAUUAUUGUUUAAAAGCACACACAUAUACACGCAUAUAUGCAUGUACAUAUAUGUAUGUAUAUACAUCUAUAAGUAUACAGAUACAGAUAGAUAAAUAAAUAAAUACAUACAUAUAAUAUUAUUUUCUAUUCUAGGCACAAGGCCCGAAAUUUUGAGCGAGGGGACAAAUCGAUUAGAUCAACCUCAGUACGCAACUGGUACAUAAUUUAUCAACCCCGAAAUACCGAUUUCUUUACUACCCACAAGAGGACAAACAAGGACAGACAAACGGAUUAAGUCGAUUACAUCGACCCCAGCGCGUAACUGGUACUUAUUUAAUCGACCCCGAAAGGAUGAAAAGCAAAGUCGACCUCGGCGGAAUUUGAACUCAGAACGUAGCGGCAGACAAAAUAACGCUAAGCAUUUCUCCCGGCGUGCUAACGAUUCUGCCAGCUCACCUUAUAUAUAUAUAUAUAUAUAUAUAUAUAUAUAUAUAUAUAUAUAUAUAUAUAUAUAUAUAUAUAUAUAUAUAUAUAUAUAUAUAUAUAUAUAUAUAUAUAUAUAUAUAUAUAUAUAUAUAUAUAUAUAUAUAUAUAUAUAUAUAUAUAUAUAUCAUUUUAUUACAUUAUAUAUACAUAAUGCAUAAUGCAUAUAUAUAUAUAUAUAUAUACCGUUGUCUGUAUAUGUAUAUAUGUGUAUAUAUAUAAGUAUAUAUAUGUACAUAAGGCUAAAUCUGGGGACACGAGAAUUUAUAAGAGAAUGUGCAAAUACCAGUGUUUUCUUAUGAUGUUGAUUUUAAUAUCAGAAAUAAUUACUGCUGUUAUAUUGGUGGCUACACAAGUAAAAUCUGCAUCGAUCACGAGAAAUAUCUAGCAACCUAUCAGUAUGGAUUUAAAGAGAAGAUUCCAAUGCAUGCGUAUUCACAAAUGCCGUUGGCUGUCAAAAACAAAUAUCCAUCACAUGGCAAAGAGAAUGUUUCUGAAAAUUGAGAACCCAUUCGUUGAAAACUAAGUCAACUUCAAUAAAUGAUUUGGAAAUAAAAAAAAAAUAUGCCAGAAGUGAAUUAAAACUUCAAUAAAUGUUGUGUAAAGGUGCGUGGAUUAGGAAUUAUCAUAUAUCGCUCACAAUCGCAUAAGAUCGUCGUUUCGAUUCAUGGACUGGGUGGUGUGUUGUACUCUUCAACAAAACGGUUCGUUUCACGUUGCACCUGUCCACUCAGCUGAAAAUGAGUAACCCUACGACCGACUGGCUUCCUGUUGAAGGAGGGUCUUGUGAUCAGAGUCACUUAUAUGCCAGCGAAACUAGGUAACCAGCUCUAUAACUUUUAGGACUCGAUACUGACAUAUCUUGGGAUUCAUAAUGAUAAUGAUGAUGAUGAUGGUGAUGAAUUUAUACAUACAUAUAUAUAUAUAUUCAUUUAAAGAAGAAAAUGGAGAUUGUGAAGUUAAUAAUUGCUUAUUAUUAACAGUAAAUUGGUUAUCUUCAGUAUUUUCUAGGAUGAAAACAUCCCUUCAUGAGCUUAACAAAACCUCUAAUUAAACAUAUAUAUAUAUAUAGGAGGUCUGCCUGAAAAGUAACGGGGCACGAUGUGUCGUGUGAUCUAUGGGCGAAAGAGAGAUAAGCGGAUUGUGUUAUCAUCUAACAUAAUAUCUUGGGUGUAUAUAACUGUAGUCUUAGCUUUCUGUAACCAUUACAUGAUAUUUCAUAUGCUUUUGUUUACAUCUCAUCUUUUUCAGGUCGUUCACCUAUGAGCCCUGAAGAACGAAUAAUGAACACCGAACAACGAACAAACCUAAUAUUUUGGGUCUGGUUGGUGAAAACUCCGUCACAAGGACUUGUCACGCACAAACACCAUGUCACGCACAUAUGUUUUUGAGUGGCACAAGAGGUUCAAAGAGGGUCGCAAUGAGGUUCGAAGAUGACUCAAGGUGCAGGGGCCUUCAAAAUGCAGGACUGAGGACAACGUCGAGCAGUCAAUCAGCAAGUCUACAACGAGAUUCUGCGAGUUUGCUUCGCUCAGUGCGCGAGAAGGG
rnacentral:lncRNA from 1 species